UCCCUUGUGGCUCAGAGAUUAAAGCGUCUGCCUGGAAUGCGGGAGACCGAGGUUCAAUUCCUGGGUAGGGAA
rnacentral:tRNA from 1 species